rnacentral:rRNA from 1 species
AGUGAACGCUGGCGGUAGGCCUAACACAUGCAAGUCGAACGGCAGCACAGUAAGAGCUUGCUCUUACGGGUGGCGAGUGGCGGACGGGUGAGGAAUACAUCGGAAUCUACUUUUUCGCGGGGGGUAACGUAGGGAAACUUACGCUAAUACCGCAUACGACCUACGGGUGAAAGCAGGGGAUCUUCGGACCUUGCGCGAUUGAAUGAGCCGAUGUCGGAUUAGCUAGUUGGCGGGGUAAAGGCCCACCAAGGCGACGAUCCGUAGCUGGUCUGAGAGGAUGAUCAGCCACACUGGAACUGAGACACGGUCCAGACUCCUACGGGAGGCAGCAGUGGGGAAUAUUGGACAAUGGGCGCAAGCCUGAUCCAGCCAUACCGCGUGGGUGAAGAAGGCCUUCGGGUUGUAAAGCCCUUUUGUUGGGAAAGAAAAGCAGCAGGUUAAUACCCCGCUGUUCUGACGGUACCCAAAGAAUAAGCACCGGCUAACUUCGUG